rnacentral:rRNA from 1 species
CUCUCUAGUGACCGAUAGUGAACCAGUACCGUGAGGGAAAGGUGAAAAGCACCCCGGAAGGGGAGUGAAAUAGAACCUGAAACCGUGUGCUUACAAGUAGUCAGAGCCCGUUAAUGGGUGAUGGCGUGCCUUUUGUAGAAUGAACCGGCGAGUUACGAUUUGAUGCAAGGUUAAGCAGUAAAUGUGGAGCCGUAGCGAAAGCGAGUCUGAAUAGGGCGUUUAGUAUUUGGUCGUAGACCCGAAACCAGGUGAUCUACCCUUGGUCAGGUUGAAGUUCAGGUAACACUGAAUGGAGGACCGAACCGACUUACGUU